AUUAAUUCAAACAACAAAUCAACAAUCAUUGACAAGUAAUUAAUUUUACAUUUUAUAUGAUAAACGAUAUGCGGAUAUGCGGAUACGAUAUAGACAUUUAUUAACUCUGAUAUCUGGUAGAUCGAAAAUCGAGAAUACAAACGGAAACGCACACGAGCUGCGUUUUGAAAAUGCGAAGCCGUCGACUGAUAUUUAUAACAAAAAGUAUAACAUUAAAUAACGAAUUACGAAAGCAAAGAAACUCAUUUGUAAAUACACUGACACUGGACACUGAGCACUGAAAAUGCAGGAGGAAUCGCGCGAGUCCUCGGAGCGCAUUAUGUUAAUGUAAUCACACACUAACCACCCACCAACCCCCCCCCCCCCCCCCCCCCCCCCCCCCCCCCCCCCCCUUCCACAUGAUCCACCACAUCCCGCAUCCACAUCCUUCCAGCAAUCCAAAAAUCGAAUCGGAAUUACGAUCCGAUCGGAUCCACCACGCAGCAAAUUUGCACUCAACACUAGCGAAAUUUUUUAAUGCGCAUUAAGCAAAUCGUCACAGAUACAUAAAUCUAUAUAUAUAUAUAUCUAAAUACAUAUAUAUUAAAUGAAUACCAAUUAUUGUUGUUGUCUCAUAUAAAAGAAAAACCAAAACCAAAACCAAAACCAAACCAGAAACUGAAAGGGAAACCAAAACGAAAGCAAAUUUAAAUAUAUUUCCAAAAUAUAUAUAGAAUAUAAACUUUGAAAGCCA
rnacentral:lncRNA from 1 species